rnacentral:lncRNA from 1 species
GACGGACCUCAUGUGUGGAUCACAUCAAUUUUCUCGUACAACCCAACAAUGGUGUUGGAAUAUAGCAUCAUUCAUGCUGUUUGGCAGGCCCGUUUUACCGAAUAGGCACGGUAGGCACGUGCCUAGGGCGCUAGGCAAUCAGCAUUUUUUGGGGGGCGCAAAAAAUGGGAAAACAAAUUGCGUGGUUGUAUCUUCUUGCAUCAUCAUCUAACGGACUCUUUCUAGGCUGUCUUGAGCUGAUAAAUGAAUUUGAUCCAUUUCUCGCCCAACACAUGAUAACAAAGGCAAAAGUAGUGUAUCAUACUUUUUGUCUGACAUUUGCAGUGAAUUUAUGGAGAUUAUGAGCAAAAAAGUACUGAAACAAAUCUUACAUGAAAUCAAGCAAGCUCGCUAUCUCUCUUUAAUCAUAGACUCCACACCUGACGUAUCGCACACAGACCAAUUGGCUGUAGUACUUCGGUAUGUUUCAUUGCCCAAUGCUUGCGCCAACGAACGCCUGAUACAACUCUUAUCUUGCUAACUAUGUACCAUGUGCAGCUCACUCACUAAACCUUGCUGGGUGUUUUGCUGCCGAGAAGGCGUGGCCAGAUAACACACAACAUUUUUUACAUUCGUACAAGGGCUUUAUGCUUUUUUCUCGGCAUCCAAUUACAGGUGGAACAUCCUAAAAAGUCAUAUUGAAACGAGUAACGAAGGAAAAUUAAAGAAAGAUCAGAGAAAGCUAAUUGUAAAAACCCUGAGUGACACAAGAAGGUCUGCUAGGGCAGAAGCCCUUCGAGCUUUAAAAAUAAGUCGACAUGAAUUAAAAGAUGCUUUUGAAGAGCUAAAUAAAGACGAUACUCAGACACCAGGAACACAAUGCACAGCCAAUGGGUUUCUAAAAACAAUUGGAAAUUUCCAAAUCGUGUUAUUAACUGUGAUCUGGGACGAAAUUCUCGAGAGAGUUGAUGAAACAACUAAACUCUUCAAAUCAAAAUUUAGAUCUAUUUCGUGCUACAAAGGAACUUGAAACACUUUCCUCGUUUGAGAUGAUUUCGAGUCCAAAGCAUUGAAACUUGCAGAAAAAGAAGAAGCUGUAUAUGACAAAGUAUGAAAAAUAAAGUUAUUACCAGAUGAAAAGAAGGACAGAAGCAUGGAAGAAACAUCUCCCCGAGAAAGAUUUUGCACUGGGGUGUUUAUUGCCAUUGUUCACAACAUAGCUUCGCAGCUCAACAAAAGGAGGGAGGCCUAUAAAAAUUUCGACAUAAGAUUUAAGAUCUUACAAAAUCUAGAAGAGAAAAAUUCCAAAGAGGUGGCUUGUGAAGCUAAACUGUUAGGAGAAGUAUACAUGAACGAUAUUGAUGGGCAAGACUUAAACCAUAGCUUUUCAGCUUUGAAAAGAGUGAAGUCAGAAAAUAUUAGAUCGUCGAUGGUUGAUGAAAAGCUUAAUGGUUUAUUGUUGCUGUGCACCCAAAUCGACAUUAUUUUAAAAUUAGACUACAAAAACAUUAUUGACGACUUUGCAACACGGAAAACCAGAAAAAAGCUAUUGUAUGAAUCUCUAGUCAGUCUAGUGGUAAGCCAACAAAACAAAAAUAAUCCAAAGAAAUUGUCACUAAACGAAUACUAUAAAUAAUAUAAAUACUUCAAAUGUAAAGAAGGGAGGGUGGGUGGUCCGUGAGGUAUGUUACACACAUUCCCACCGGAGACCAGUAGAUACCUCAUGGCUACCGGUUGCUAGUCCGGGACACGGCAGGUCCAUAGGUGAUGGAUAAUUGGAAGGCUCUCGAAAAGAAUCAGGAUAAGUUGUAAAGGAAAGUUAAGGGACAUUAAGUCUAGAGUCCCUCCCGAACCAAAACUGGCAUUUCAGACUAAAUCUAAAGUUAUGGGGUAUAGGCGUUAUGGUAGGGCUUGUGGGGGGUCUUAGUCAGCUGGCAGGGGUAUAAAAAGAGGCGCAACUCUUCGUUGUGCCUAGGGCGCAGGCAGGGUUUAAAAUGGGCCUGCUGUUUGGACGGACCUCAUGUGUGGAUCACAACAAUUUUCUCAUAUAACCCAACAAUUGGUGUUGGAACAUAGCAUCAUUCAUGCUGUUUGGACAGACCUCAUUUGUGGAUCACAACAAUUUUCUCAUAUAACCCAACAAUUGGUGUUGGAACAUAACAUCAUUCAUGCUGUUUGGAUGGACCUUAUGUGUGGAUCACAACAAUUUUCUCAUAUAACCCAACAAUUUGUGUUGGAAACAUUAACAUAAUUGAUUCUCGAAAAUAAUAUUUUUGUUCUAACUGCGCAAUAAUGUUUCCUACAGUUUACUCCAGCAUUCUUUGUUUAUUGAAAUAAUUAAUAUUUCAAGCAAUAAAAACAGAUUUAUUGAAAUUAGGCGAGCAUUAUAAAAGUGAAAUCAGGAAACUAAUUGUUCUUACUUUGAAAAUAAAACUAAGAUAAAACAUCUGUUCUUUUCAAUUGUGUAAAAACGCCAUAUAGUAUUCUAGAUAUGCUUGUUACAUAAUAAAUAAUGAAAUACUGAACAAAAAAUAUGCAUGAAAGCUUUUUCAAAUUGUUGAAAAUAUAUAUACAAGAGUUAAAAUGUAAUAACCUGACACCAUUUUUAUUUUAACAGCAACAGAUAUAAAUGAAUUACCGAACCUAUCGGAAAUAAAGUGGUGAUUAGAGGAAGGGAAAAUGGGUGGUUCAUUCGAACUGUAGACACUGUAUAGACAUAAGCUGUAAGGUUUGAGAUUUGCACACUAGUCUUGUUAAAUACUAAUAAUUAAAUUUUGGAUUCUUUUAAAAAUUAUAUUAAUUAUAAUGAAAAAUAAACUUAAAAGUAGUAUAACAAGCUUAUGGGGGAUUAUUUCCAAAUCAAGGUACAGUCUUAAUUGAUUUUGAGCUCUAAGUUCUUCAAAUAACACAAUUUAUCAUCUACUACUACAAUGAAUAUUUGUUUUAGGUUAAUUACUAUGUAACAUUUAUUGUGCUGCUCAAUUUAAUUUUAUACAAAUGUGUGAUCGUUUGAAGCUAGAAUGAAGAAACCCACACCAAUCAUUGUUGUAUUGUUGUUGUUUAUUGUUAAUUUCCAGUCAAUGUUUUUAUUUUUGUAUGUAACAAUGUAACGAUGAAAGUGCCAUAAUGAAUGUGUAUAAUUUAGGCUGUGAUGGAAGUUAGGCUUAAUGUUUUAUUAAUGUUCAAGAGUUUAGUGGAUCACAAAUAAAAGGAUGAAUUCUGA